CCCGACCCGGCACCGCUGCCCCGGGAGCGGCUGCCCCGGUGGCUCCGGGUCGGGCCCUGGCUGCUCGGCAGCAGCCGCCCGGAGCCGCUCUGGCUGUGGCCACCCCUGGCCCCGAGUCACCCCGGGGACGGUCGCGAUCCGGCCCGGCCACACGGGCACCGCUGCCCAGAGCCGCUCCGGGUCGGGCCUGAUGCCCCGGGGUGAAAAACACCCGGCGUCGGCGCGGAUCCGGCCAGCAGCGGGGGAACGGCUGCCCCGGAGCCACCCCGAUCCCCCCCGGGGCCCUUCCGUCCCGGCCGCCCUCGCGCCUCGGUUUCCCCUCCCGCGCCGAAGCGGGGAUGGCGGCAGGGGGACCUGGAUCCCCCCCCCCGCAUCCUCGAAGCUUUUGUUUCCAAACCAAGCGAACGGGCAUCGCACCCCGCUCUCGGCACCGCGCGGCGCCGGGGGCCCUUCGCGGAAAGCCGCCUCCCCGGGACGUCGCAAGAGCCGCCGCGCGGGCGGCGGUGGCAAAGGGCGAGCGAGCCUCGGCGUGGGUUUUUCUUUGGCAUGUUUAUCCAGGCGCACAAACACGCCGCCCUCGGAAGCGGCCCUCCCGCGCGGGGCCGAGCUCCCUGCGGCCGCGGCGAGCCGGGGGCUCCCGCCUCCCCUCCGAACGGGACCGGGCCGGCGGGUCACGGCGGCGGGCUCAGCCCCAAGCGCUCGGCAGCGUCUCAAAGUCACCGUUCAGACCCGAAACGCGUCCCCUCCGAGGCAUCGCAGCCCCGGCAGCUUUCCGGGGGGGAAAUGGAGCCGCUUUCCCUGCAAACACCCCGGGAUCGCGGCCGGCGCGGGAGGCUCCGCUUCCUUCCGGAGGCAGAGAUCAUCCCCACUGGUGUAAGGAGUAAAAAGUGGCAUUUCAGGGUCUAUUUCAAAGGGAUUUUGUUUGUUUUUUCUUUCCUUCAAGGCAAACUUCUGAAACGGCACCGCGUGAGGAUGGAGCCGCCGUCACGCGACGCUCCCCUCCGGGGCAGCGCGGCCCCCGCAUCCCGGGAAA
rnacentral:lncRNA from 1 species